ACGCUGGCGGCAGGCUUAACACAUGCAAGUCGAACGGUAACAGGAGAAAGCUUGCUUUCUUGCUGACGAGUGGCGGACGGGUGAGUAAUGCUUGGGAAUCUGGCUUAUGGAGGGGGAUAACGACGGGAAACUGUCGCUAAUACCGCGUAGAGUCGAGAGACGAAAGUGCGGGACCGCAAGGCCGCAUGCCAUAGGAUGAGCCCAAGUGGGAUUAGGUAGUUGGUGGGGUAAUAGCCUACCAAGCCGACGAUCUCUAGCUGGUCUGAGAGGAUGACCAGCCACACCGGGACUGAGACACGGCCCGGACUCCUACGGGAGGCAGCAGUGGGGAAUAUUGCGCAAUGGGGGCAACCCUGACGCAGCCAUGCCGCGUGAAUGAAGAAGGCCUUCGGGUUGUAAAGUUCUUUCGGUAUUGAGGAAGGUUGUUGUGUUAAUAGCACGACAAAUUGACGUUAAAUACAGAAGAAGUACCGGCUAACUCCGUGCCAGCAGCCGCGGUAAUACGGAGGGUGCGAGCGUUAAUCGGAAUAACUGGGCGUAAAGGGCACGCAGGCGGACUUUUAAGUGAGGUGUGAAAUCCCCGGGCUUAACCUGGGAAUUGCAUUUCAGACUGGGAGUCUAGAGUACUUUAGGGAGGGGUAGAAUUCCACGUGUAGCGGUGAAAUGCGUAGAGAUGUGGAGGAAUACCGAAGGCGAAGGCAGCCCCUUGGGAAUGUACUGACGCUCAUGUGCGAAAGCGUGGGGAGCAAACAGGAUUAGAUACCCUGGUAGUCCACGCUGUAAACGCUGUCGAUUUGGGGAUUGGGCUUUAAGCUUGGUGCCCGAAGCUAACGUGAUAAAUCGACCGCCUGGGGAGUACGGCCGCAAGGUUAAAACUCAAAUGAAUUGACGGGGGCCCGCACAAGCGGUGGAGCAU
rnacentral:rRNA from 1 species